rnacentral:rRNA from 1 species
GACGUAGGGCGCGAGCGUUGUCCGGAUUUAUUGGGCGUAAAGAGCUCGUAGGCGGCUUGUCGCGUCGUUCGUGAAAACUUAGGGCUCAACCCUAAGCUUGCGGUCGAUACGGGCAGGCUAGAGUUCGGUAGGGGAGACUGGAAUUCCUGGUGUAGCGGUGAAAUGCGCAGAUAUCAGGAGGAACACCAAUUGCGAAGGCAGCUCGCUGGGACGUUACUGACGCUGAGACGCGAAAGCGUGGGGAGCAAACAGGAUUGAGACUACCC